AUCCAUUGAUUUUUCUUUAGUAAAUUCGUACAACUGACUACCACCUCAAAUCUUUUAUCAAGAAAUUCAAAAGCAGUAAUCUACAAAAACAACAAUUAUGUUUGAUAAAAAUCGCAUGAAAGGAAAGCAAGAAUCUUUCCAAGAAGAAGAAAAGAUCAAGUACCGCUACAAAAACCCUCUUAGGCUAUCAUCAUCAGAAAGCAGAUUCACAUACGGCGACGUUUCUAUAUCAUCCGCCACAAGAUCAUCCGUGCUCCUGAGCAGCGCGUGUAAAAUGACCAAAACGAUACCGAUUCCGACCGCAACCACUACAUUAAGCCAAACGCCACUCCAAACCAACACCAAAACCGUCACCGCAAAAAGCGCAACUAAAACCAGCAAAUCAUUAACCUGGUAACCGAAAACACUGAGGGGCUCCUCGCGAGAGAAGUAAAGAAAGACCCAAGCAACGAGCGUGAUAAAGAAGGCGAUUAGGGAGAGAGGAUGAUAAAGGAGACUCAAGAAGAGGACAAGCAAGACGAUGAUUGAGUAAUUAGCACGGAAAUGAGUGAGGUUCUGAGUUAAACGAGUAGUGGCGUCGGGGAUGGAGG
rnacentral:misc_RNA from 1 species